UGCCCCCCCCUCCCACAAAUGCACACCCACGCACCUUGAGCGACAUGCGCGGGUCGUGCUGCCCCGCCACGUACAUCUGCGGCGGCGACAGGUACGACGCCACCGCCGCCGCCGCGCCCGACAGCACCGGGCCCCACACGUCCGGCCGCGGCACGCCCUCCACCAUCAGCAGCUGCCCCACCACCGCCCGCACGUGCGCCUCAGCAGCCGAGUGGAACAGCGCCCUGCAGCAAGCCAGAGCGCACAGAUCGCAGCCAGAAGACAGCGAGACAUGACGAGCGGAAGCGGGCCAUCGUUCCGGCAGCCUGCGCUGCUCCAGCCCUGCCCUCUCGGUCCCCUCCUCCCCGUGCCCCUUCCUCACUACCGCCCCCGCGCCUCACCCCUCAUCCCUCUCCGCCGACACCGCCGCCGCCCCCCGCCUCCCCCUCCGCCGCACCUGUGCACCUCCAUGAGGCUGUGCGGCUGCGGCGGCGCGUCCGGCGGCAGCGCGCCCGCGUCCAGCUGCUGCUGGUACAGCAGGCGCGCGUCGCGGUCGGCCAGGCACAUGCCGAAGUCCUCCUCCAGCGGCGGCGGCACGCUCCAGGACAGGUCGCCGCUGGUGACGCGGUGCGCUGAGGACUGCGUGCGCAGCAGCUGCGGAGCGGCAGGCGGUGCGCGUGGUGGUGAGGGCGUGGGAUUUGGGGACGGGUAAGGGCAGGGGAGUGGAUCAGGGCGCGGGCCAGGCGGGGAUGGGCAGCUAGGUGUGGGAGGUGGAUGGGCGGUGCUAGAAGGUUGGGGAGAGCAGUGACGGUGCCGCUCACCGAUCGGUGGUUGCCGCGCGUGCGGACUCCGUGCAGCGACGGCGAGGGCGAGCCCCCGUCCGAGCCCGACACGAACGAUACCGCAUCGGUUAGCUGCCUGCAGGACAUAGCCGAGAUAGCAGUGGGGGGGUCACGGGAAAGGAGCGGUAACAAGGGCCGCGUGACGUGGGAACACCAACAGCCGUCGCACGCCGCCCAAAUCCCCCCCCCGGAGAAUCACAGGCAGUCCCCCUACACACUGUACAUAUGUCCGCAGGCCAUUGCUGCUGGCCACGGCGCGCCGUGCCCGACGACAGGGCACCGACGCGGUUGCGCUCCCUGCACCGUGAACCCUGGUGUCCAGCACAUACCUCUGGCUGCCAGAUGUGGCCACCACCGCAGCCCCGACACCGCGCAUAGAUGAAUGCUGCUGCUGGAAUCGAAUGGCGGCCUGGUCAUUCUGCUGUCUGACCCGGUAGCCUGCGAGCAGUGCGAUGGCAAGGGUCAAUCGAACCGUGUGGCGCACCUAGAUCACCCUCUGGCCCCAAGGAAUGCUUCCAAACGUCAUAAUGUAACUAUCAUCUACUUACAGAAGUCGCAGACCCGGUGCCAGGGCUGUUCCGGCGAGUCUCGCGGUGCAGGCACAAAGUUACGAGUGCAGUUCCCGCAAAAUAUGCGUCCACAGAUGCGGCAGUGGUGCCUGCGGACUGCGAUGCCGAAGGUCGCGUCGCAUUCUGUGCAACUGGGAACAUGCCUGUCGUCCACCCAGUAUUCCUUUGACUUGUCGCCUGUGACGAGCUUUGCAAACUUCUCGAUAAAAUCCAUGGCGGGCAGGGUCAACUACCUAGCCAAGUCCCUUGGUGUCUCGGCAUCGUCGGGCGUGUCACCGUCGCUUCCUAACCGGUUGUGUUAUGUCCACAUGGCCGUGUGUCACAAGUUGUAUGUAUGACGAGAGGUCGCGGUCGCGGUGGGGUUUCUCCGCCUCGUGGCAUGUGGGCAUUGCUGCACCAACCACGACCAGCCUGUCGCCUCGCCUCCGCCCAUCCCCUGUUCCCGUUUGACUGCAGCGGUGCAGCCCCCGUCUGCCCGAUAGCCACCCAAGGACAGGACGUCAAUGGGCCCAUUUUAUUACAUUACAUGCUGAAUAAGUGCUGGCGUGGUCAAGAAUAACUUAAGACUUGAGAAAGCACGCGCCAAGCUGUGGACCCGCCUGCACCUGAGACCUCCACAUCAUGCACUUCAUCAUAACGCCUAGCCUUGAUCCUCGAUUGAGGCCUUGAUGCUCUGGUAAUCCCGUCAUCGCUUCAUUGUCCGGACCCCCUUGCGAAGAAUGCCAAUCAAGUUGCUUUUGCCUGGCAAUAGCGCGAGUGCGCGCGCCACACUGAUGCAACUCCGACAGCGCCAGGGGCCCAGGGCACUGUCCGCGCCCCGAUAAGGGAGAACGUUGCAUGUUCGUGCCCUUGCUGCUCCCUACCGCACCCAUAACCCCCACGGGAUGCACGCGCCAAUCAUGGCAUCACCGGACCGUGUGCGUGCUUCUACUACGCACUGAUGGUCGCACUGCCCAAUGUCCAAGGCUGGCAUCGCUCACAACCAAUGCUCGUGUACACGUGACAGUCUGGCAUAUCGUGCCGUUUACUCACAUGGUUAUGUACUCCAAAUGACCAUCAGUGUCAAAGUCUAUGGCCUAUGGCUGCUCCUCCAUGAGGGACAGCACCAUACCGCGCCACGGAUGCAGCAGCCCCCACUCCACAGACAAUUCACCCUCCAUGUCACCACGCGCCAUGAGACCCGUCCUCCACACUACUUGCUGUCGUCCCGCCCCGUCACCUCCAGCGAGUUGGCCACCUCCAGCAGCCCCCGCUCCUCGUCAUCGUACAGCGAGCCGUAGCCCUGCUUGUCCCGCACCGCCCGCUGCAGGUUGGACGGCGCCCGCUUGACCGCCUCUAUGCUCUUGAGCACGCCGCGCUCCGCCUUGUCCAUCAGCUUGCGCGGGAGCGACGCGUGCCGCGGGCUGGCGGGCGCCGAGUGCUGCACAUCCUCGUCUUCCCGGCCCAAAGCGCGCCCCGCCCCGCGCGACGGCAAUGAGAAGCUGCUGGUGGAGCGGAUCUCAAUGUCCUGCGGGUGGGGUUGGAGUGCUGGAUGCUAUCAGCGCACGAUCCUGACCGACGUGUCAAGAGGUGCAGCCGGUGGCGGAAAUACCCCAAAACAAGCCUUCGUUCUAAGGCAGAUGCGUCCCCGCGCCAAGGCGCAUCCGGGAUACCCGUCCACAAAGCUCACCUCCAGUAUUGGCCGCAACCCAUUGUCCUGUGAAGAUGGCAAUCGCGGUGGCAUACAAGACCGCACCCAGGAUCAGCGGGCAUGGCAUUUAAAAGAAGCCGAACAGAAGACAACAGCCAUCCAUUGCUAUUUUAACUUACGGUCUUGACAGAACUCGACUGGUCUCCAGAGAAGUGCCCUCGAGGGUUCACCUGCGCGGAGCGUGGCUUCGUUGACUGCACGCAAGUAGGGAAUGCACCCAACCUGCCGCCACACUGCGGUCGAGCACGCGCAUGCGAACGCUAAGCGACGCCAGUUGUAGUACGCAGCCACCACAGCACCGUUGCAUGUGCAUGACCGCCCCCCAAUCUGUGUGUACCGUACCUCGUGCGCGUAGUCCAUCAUUGUGGGCAUGGCGAACAGGCUGAUGGCCAUGCCGCCCUCGCCCAGGCCCAUCGCCUGCUUCAAGCCCUCGCGCGCCUCCACGCUCAGCAGGUCCCGGUUCAGCCUCUCCUGCACCGCCCGGAAGCGGCGCUUGACCGAGUCCAGCCUGCAGCGGCGACCAAGGAGAUAGCCGCGGCACUUGGGCAUCAGUGUCCGGACGGCGCGCCCUUGCCCGAAACACCGCGUCACGAAAUUCACCCAACCACCAUGUGUGCAGCGAGGGCUGCAGCUACAGGCAGCGGUGCGUCGAGGCCUUUACUCACAUCGACGAAGGGCUUUCCGUCAUCUUGGCGACGUCCUCGAGCGAUGGCGUCGCCUUGGAAGGCGUGGCUGCGCUGAUCUCCUCCACCGCCGACCCGUCGCCGCCCCUCUCCACAUCCACGACCUCCUCCCCGGUCCGCCGCGUCUGCAGACCCGGCUUCGCACUGGCUUCCGGGGCAGCCGCUGGCGCCACCUGUUCCCCGCGGCCAAGCUUCUCUGGAGACUCCACGCGCGCUGGUGCGGCAACGCUGGGCUCUGAGGAAACUGCACGGCACGCAGACACACCGCACAACUUAAGAAGGGCAAAGCGCAGGCCAAAAGCGUGACGUAAAUGUGAUGCCCUGGAUUACCAAUGGCGGCGGGAAGGCCAGCUUGCACACCCCUGCACUCACUCUCUGACCGGGCAUCUAUGCUUGGCUCCCGCUUGGGCAUCUCCACCAUUUGCGUCGUGGAGCCAAACGCAGACUGCGCAGUGUCCUGCUUGGCGGCGUUUGCGGCGGCCUCCUCCUCCAUCUUCUGGUAGCUGGCCUGCUUAGCUGCGCCGCCACUCUGUGUGAGCAGAAAUACGCCCACGAAGACCACCUGCGCGUGCACAUCUGCCAUUUAUAGCCGUACGUGCUGCGGGCCAGCCACCUAUCAAGCACCAAGCCCCAUUACAGGUGCUCACAGAUCGUGAGCCUUCGCUACUGUGCACGGGGCCUUACCAGCACACCGAUGGGGAACAUGACCGACUUGAUCGGCGUGAAGCCCAGGUACUCCUGAAAGUACAGCAUGCCCGAGAUGAUGGAGAACAGCGUCCAGCUAAUUUGCAUUACUGGCACGAUGAUCAUCGCCGGGAACAUGCGUAGGCCCUGUUGCGGGUAGGAGGUGCAAGGCGGUCAGACCCGACAAACAGGCAAGCUGGUGCAGAAGUACUAGGCGUCAUCGUGUCUGCUUGCGGCGGCACCAUCGCUGCUCGCACCUUGUUGAGGCGGCUAAUCCAAAACACCGCCGUUGCCAGGAACAGCGGCAGCACCAACCAAGUGUACCAGUUCCCGAGCUGCACGCAACAGGUACAGCAUUGCAUGAAGAGCCAGCAAUACAGCGUCGCGACCGCGUGGAGGUGCGUCAGGCCCCAAACCCCUAUGGUAUGCCGCAUUUGCGUACGAAUGUGCCAGGUGGCCUCGCGCCUCCAUCCAAAGCAGCACCCGUGAAGCCAUGCCCACCUGGUUCUCGCCAGUGAACGUGAGGCGCAGGAUCACCGACAUGCUCUUGCUGAACAACACGCUCUGCGUCCCGAUCAGCGCUGAGAACACCGCGUAUGCGACCGGCAAGAUAGCGUACCAGAAGCCUCGCGGUCCGUUCUUGCUGCAGGCACACAGUUAGGUUGAAAGGUCAGGACCAUCGGCACGGGGUCCGCGCGUUGGGCUGACAAGGCAACACCCACGGAGGCACAGCAGACUUACGCGACCUUUUUGGAGCCGUGCAGGUACAGCAUAUAGCCGCCCACGACGCCCACGCCCAUAAGGCACAGGUACACCACAUACGCCGGCCUGCACGCGGCAGCGCCGAAGUGGGUUCGAUCAGAGGCGGGUUGCACGCUUGCCUCGGACACAGACAUUGGGUCGCGGGCCCUUAUACUGGCUAGCUGCUGUGUCCAUGACGCCCGCUGACGCUGACCGCGUACCGUGCCCCCACAAUGCCUGCACUUACUUGCCGUACAGCUGCGUCAGCUGCUUCACUGUGUAUGUCGCGCCGCUCUGGUUUCCGAACACCACCAACAGCACACACCCGCCCACGAUACAUGUUGUCGCGAUGAUCACCAUGCGAUUGAUCUGCAUGUGCACACCCAUACGAGACACGUAAUGACCGUCAGGCGCCAGGCGCAGUUUCGAGCACAAACCCUGAGCUCUGGAUUGCAGACAGGUAACGUUCUUGCCCAAUCAGGGCCCUAAACAUUUGGCUAGCCAAACACUGCAUACCAGACGCAAGGCCAGAGCCCGCAGCAGUACCGCGGCCCACCUGCUCAUGCAGCACGAAGUAGGCGAAGAUGACGUUGGAGACGAACUGGAUGCUGCCCAGCGCCGCAAGCAAUGACUGGGCCGCAAAACCUGCGUAGGGGCGCCGUCUGGUGAGCCCCUGGCUGCAAUGAAAUGAACUAUGGCGCAACCAGCUGUGAACGCCAUGCUGCUAGCCCCCGCCGCACUCACCAAACGACGUGAAGUUCAGGAUAUUGCCAACCGAAAAGAAGGACAUGCCAACCACCCACUCCUUGAUCUUCCGCACGGAUGGCUUUUGGUCGUCCGGCAUGGGCAUUUUGGCGCGCUUAUUGUGCCCCAACUUCAUCAGGUUCUGUGUGGGGGCAGCAGGGGUUUGACACGCGUAGGCCUGCUGUCAGCACAACAGCGGGCUGAGCUGCCAGGUGCAUUCAGUUGCUAGCGCGGCACGUACCGUCCCGAGGUUGAUGGCGAUACUGCCGAUCUGCGUUGAGUCACAAAGGCGUCAGCCACAGGCACGUAGGUGCGGGCACCUCCGUGCACAAAGUGCGCCGGAGCCCGUCGGCCCAGUGGACGGGCUCGACAGACCUCCCCGCCCGACCACAGAACUUACCACGUUGAUUAUUGCACCCACAUACCACAAGUCUUUUGGCUCCCCCGCCAGAGGCGGGGGCGGGGCGAACGCCCCUUCCGCGUCCAUCUGUCAGGUUCCGGAGUUGCCCAAAAGCUACGGUAACCUAUGUCAUUUUUAAUUUCGCAAGCCACAAUACGUAAGGUUUUGCUCAAGGUUUGUCCUGUUGCUUGCGUUGACUUUCUUGCCUACAGGUCGCUUCGGCUCGCUGGCAAGUUAUGGAUGCCCUUAUUUGCGCCAUGAAACGCAAUGGAAUGUUCUUGUGGCUCAUUUCAGGCGCAAGCGCCCAAAAGAACUGCAUGGGCGCCGGGUAGUUCGCAAAUUUGCAUGCAACUGCGACUCUUCCCUCAGUUAUCAUCGUUUUCUGGUUGCAUUUACAAGACUAAGCAUCCAUUAAGCUAUUCGGACUGCAAUUAAGCAGCGCGGCAAAUUCUUGCCGAAGAGCCUGUGGCGCACUCUGUAUUUACCUGCAUACCAAUUAUCUUGUAUAGACUAGAUCCACUGUUGCUGUUGCACUUGAGCUCGCGCCGGAUAAAUGCCGCCCAAGGAGGAGCAGAUUAAGCUGGACUCCUUGUCUCCCCAACAGCUCGUGGAGCUUCGGCAGAACCUAAAUGCUGAGAUCCAGCGGUUAAUGGAGAGUGGGCAGGCACUGGCCCGCGCGUCCAACACAUUUGCCGGCACCAAGAAGUCCGUGGAGCAACUGGGCGCCUCCAAAGAAGGUAGGUAGAGGCAGCGUUGGGCUACGGGCGAGUCGCGGGGCAGGCUUCCACUGCCUGCCCCGCGAGUGUCGAGGAGGCUGUCGGGGGCCGGGAGUGCCCGCACGCUGGACUCCCGCCCAACUGGGACUCUGCUCGCGUCCUGUGUCACAGGCCAGUCCAUCAUGCUGCCACUCACGUCGUCGCUGUACGUGCCCGGAGAGGUGGCGGACGUGGAGAAGGUGCUGGUGGACGUCGGCACCGGCUACUACGUGGAGGUGCGGGCGGCCGCUUGGGGCACGGCUUCGGGGGCCGAGGCAGGGGGGGGUGCUUCGGGCGUCCAGCAGCUCAAGGCAGGCUACGACAGGAUGCCCUCAGCGCUGGAUGUCUCUAGCUGCGGAGGAGGGUGCAGAGAGGGGACGAAGCUGGGGUCAGGGUAUGCCGACACGGCGCAGGACGGUUGGCGUGUUCGUAUGACUUGAUGGGGUGUGGGGCGGGUCAGCUUGGCAUGUGCCUCCAGUGGUUGAUAGCGUUGACACCUGACAAACGCUGGCCUGGCCUCCAAUGUAACAUGUAUCGUACUCGUACGGACAGGCCGAGAUCGAUCGGUCUAGGGGGCGCCUUUGCACAACCUGAGCUGCCGAGUCACGGUGGUUCUCACGCAGCGCCCUCCUUGCUCCGGACACAUGCUGCUUCCCCUCACCCUAUCCACUCCCCCGCAUGCGGCCCCAGAUGUGCAUUGCGGAGGCCGCCAAGUACUUUGACCGCCGCAUCAAGACGCUGCAGGAGAACAUUGGCAUCGUGCAGCAGGUGAGGCGGGGGAAGGAGGCGGGAUGUUACCGGCGCUUCCGGGCAGCGGCUAGGCGGGUCUGCAACUCUGCAUGCAUCGGGGUGGGGGACACCAUCCAUGAAAGACGGUUUGGGGGAGGUCGUGUGGCAACGCUGCUGGUUGGAGGUCAAGGUGAAGCCGGGCAGAUGAGAGGUGAGGAUUGAGGUUGGGAGUCAUUCGAUGGUCAGGUAGUCGGGUCGGGUAUGGCCCCAAGCCCCCAACCAGCUGCUUUGCCUUCUGCUUGCUUCUUGCAGACCCUGAACGACCGCCGCAACGUGCUGAUGACGGUGCAAGCCAUGCUGCAAGAGAAGAUGGCGGCGCAGCAGGCGCGGGCGUAACCGUGCUGUCGAGGACUGUGGAGGCAUUUUGGUGUGGAUGAUGUUGAGAAGGAUGUUGGAUGGGGGGGGCGCGUUGCAAGCCAGUGGUUCUGCGCUGCUUCGUUCAAGAGUUCCAUGUCUAUGGGGUAGGCAUGCUGGAGAUGUUGGAUGUGAAAUGGUCAGGAAAUGCGGCAUGGCAAGGGGCUGGUGGUCAGGUGGUCAACAACAGCACUGACGUUGUGUAGACCAGUGGUUCCCACGCUGCCAAUGCGGCUGAUGGAAGUGCGAUAGGACAGUGUUAAGGCAGAGUUGGUGAAGUCCCGUAGGAUACAGCUGAUUCCCAGAAUCCCAGACCCCAGCAGAUGGCAGACACCUUGCAACAGCAGUGCAUGAGCGCACCGGAGGUACUGUACCGACAAGUUGCUGGCUCGCUGGAAGUUUGCUGACGCGCAUUCAUGCGGCUGAUGGAAGUAGAUGACGAGCAACUGAGGGCCUGACUGAUUGCGUGAUUGGGCACACGGCACGCGUCCUCGAGUUACACGAGGCGAACGCCCUAGCUCAUGGCUUGUCACAAGCCCAGUUUGUACCCGUCAUACGUGAACACACAGUUCACACAACUCCUGCAGCUGCACUCGCGCAUUGGCGCUGCACAGCGACUCCCCUUGCCACGCAAUCCUGGCGCCUCCGCAUUCCGUCCGCACACCAAUGACUCAUGGUGCAUGUGCACCCAUGCCUCCCAUCCAUACGGACACCAUUACCGCGACGCACGGCAUAUCAGAUCCCUCGGCUCCGACUCGCCCAGUAACGCCGCCGUCAUCCUCCAGUUCACACCUCCGCUUGCCGUCGUAUCAGUGACACUUAAACGCACAUUCGGAAUGCCGUCCCCCUCCACAUGUACGCAUUGUUGCAGAGCCGGGACUCCUGCUGUCCCGGCUAUCCCUCUGCAUGGACAUCCGUCCUCACGCCCCAAGGCAGGCAAUCCGCCCAAGCCUUAACUCCCCCUUGUACACCCCUCCCUAGGGGCACCCCUGCCCCUCUCCCUUUCGCAUCUCCACACCACCCGACGGAGCCCUCCUGCUCCUGCUCACGCCAUCAUGCCGUCCUGCUCCUCGUAGAUGUUUGACGCCAUCUGCCAGAUCUGUGAGUGGCGAGGACAUGGCAAGACCAGGAGCGCAGCUUGUCAGGAGGCACCACGACACACACGACCAUUUCAAUGCCGACCAGCGCAGCUCAAACAGCGCUUGCUCCAACAGCGACCCCACGCCCCGGUGCACCAAGGCGGCAGGUACGGUGCACUGGAUGCACGUGCAGCCCAUGCAACAACCAACGCCGCAGCAGCCCAUGCCCCCACGCCAUAUGCCUGCGCCACCCCCGCCGGCUCCUGCCCGCACCCACCCACCUGCAGUAUGUUGUCCUCCGCCACGGACGCCACCACCCAGUCGUCGUUGCCGUUCCAGGCCAGGUCCGAGAUCUUGGACGUGUGGCCGCCGUGGAUGAACAGAAGCUCAGGCGGCCCGUCCUCGGCGUCCUCAGGCGUCUACAAGGGGGGAGGGGCCAGCGGGAGGGGCGCCAGGUCACGACAGCGGCCAGGAAGGCAACUAACACACCAGGCCUGACCGACGCCAGCGUGCUGCGCGCACGGCGGACACUCCGCGUAGUCUGUAACCUGAACAGACACGGUAAAGCGGCUGCAGCCGCCGCAGCAGCGGCACAGCAGCCGCGGCCGGCCCGGCGCACCUGCUCGUCGCCGAUGCGCGACAGGUCCCACACCAUGACGCGGCGGUCGGCGCCGCACGAGGCCAGCACCGUCUCGUUCUUGGGACUCCAGCCGAUCUGGAACACCUCGUCGGCGUGGCCCUCGAACACGUGCAGCCGCUGGCUCAGGUUGCGCCAGUCGUGCAGCGCCACCUGUCGAGGAGGGGGGCAAGGAGGGGUUGCGGGUAAGCGGGUCCAGCCGGUGGCCAGGUAUAAGGAUGCACGAGCAACGCUUGCGGAUGGCGCGCACUUGUGCCGCGCGUGCGCCAACUUUGCCGAGCUAGGUUUCGCCGCGUUCGGCGCCCGCCGUGUGUGCGCUGCUCACCGUCUUGUCGGCAGAGCCGGUGGCCAGGAUGUUGGGGUUGAGCGGGUUGAAGGCGAUGCAGUUCACCUCGGCCGAGUGCGCCUCGGCGGCAAUCAUGACGCCUGUGCACACAGCCGGCAGCAGCAGCAGGGCUACCACCUCAGACAGGCCGCCCUCGUGAAAGGGAGGCCAGACCCAAGCGCCCCAACAGCAGCCCACAGCUCAUCCGCAUUUGCGUUUACCGAUUGGUGCAACGACGGUACUUUCCCCCGCCCCGUCUCAAAUUCGUGCCACCCACGCCCAUGCUGCACCACACGCGCGGCACGUUUGCCCAACCCUACUCGCCCCCCUCCCCAGCAGCGCCCAAGCCCUCCGCUGUGGCGAGUGCGGCCGCACCUUGGCUGGGCGGGCGGCGCACGUCCCACAGGAUGAGCUGCUUGUCGUCGCCCACACUGCCGAAGAUGUCCGCGUGGUGGCAGUGCCAAGCCACGUCCUGUCCGGCACAAUGCAUGGCAGGCAUGAGCGUCAGGUCGCCGCCCCCAGGGGAAUUGUCCCGUCUGCGCGCCCCAUCCCCUCACCAACACCCCCCCUCCCCCACACACACACAUAUUGCCGCGUAUGCUUGCCGCAUGUGUUUCUCUUCCCACACAUUGCUGCGCUCCAGCCAUGGAACACAAGCUCAACAGCUUGGCCCCGUCGUUCAAGGCCGGCUACCCCCACCCCUUCCCACAUAAACACGCAAAGCCGCUCCAGGCCUCCACCCCCACCCACCUCAACGACGCCUUGGUGCUCCUGGUAUAUCGUCCGCGCCGCCAGCUUCUGCGGGUCGGCAAGCGACGGCAAGCACACAGUAUGUAAGAGCCAGAACCGACAAAGGACGCAGAACGGCGCCUCGCUUCCCGUGACGCUGCGCUGCCCCCGAGCUUCACUGCCCCUCCCUGCCUCUCCCGCGGCCCCGCUCGCGCAGCCGCGCACGCUCCCCCGCUUCCUCACGUUGACGUUCUUGGGCGCGGCCUGGAUGUCCCACAGGCAGAUCUGCGCGUCGUCCGAGCCGGACAGCAGGUGUCCGGGCAUGUAGGGCGACCAGGCCAGGCCGUAGCCCUCGGUCUUGUGCCCCGUCAGCACUAGAUUGGGCCGGCACAGGCCGUCGGCGCUGGGCUUGGAGGGGUGCUUGGAGUAGUCGAACACGUACACGUCCGCCGACACGGUUUUCGUGGCGAUGAUGAACUUGUCUUGCGGCAUGUGCCGCGCGCGGUUGACCUCGCCGUCGUGGUUGAUCUGCUGGAUCACGUGGACCUUGCCGUGCGCGCCGCCGAAGCCGCCCACCUCGUUGCGCUCGUCAUCGAAGCCGCGCCCGUCCAGCUCGCUCUCCUCCAGCGGCAGCUGCACCUCGGCGAUCAUCAGGUAAUUCUGCUCGUUGUCCGAGGUGUGCGUGCCCAGGAUGAGCUUCUGCUUCGAGUAGUCCUUGCCCGCCGUGAUCUCCUUGUCCUGGUAAUGCGCAGGUGGUGCGCAGAGAUGGGCAGGUGCGAGGUUUCCGAGGUGUGUUGAAUGGGUGUGGCGGCAGCGCGCGCCGCCCCGGGGGCAGGGGGCCGGAGGGCCGGCAGCACUGCGGUUGGUUUGCGCGACGCAGCCGUGCGGCAGCGACUGUUGACAGCCCCCUCACCCUUUGGGCUCCCAUGCAGCAGGCCCCGCCCUGUGCACUUAUACCCAGACCCAACGAGCGCCGCGCCUGAGACUCACUGGCAGCCAUUGUACCGUCAGCGAGGGCCACUCCAGCGCGUGCGUCACAACAAGAUCUGCGCGGGCGAUUGCCACGGAGUGGGGUGUGUCAGGCCCGAGCGUCAAACCCUUUCACCCGUGCCGCGGACGACAGCUCUCACCAUAAAGAAAAGGGGUGUUCUUCUUCCAGAUCUUGUACUCCUCGUUAGUGAGGCGCUCCUCGACCUCAUCGGGAUAGUCUGCACAGCAUGAGGGAAGCCAGCCAAACUAAGUAGAGCCCACUCCGAGCGCGCAUCUGAUGUGUUCCCAGCUAUGAGGUAGCUCGCAUGCUGGACCUGCCUUCGUCGUCGCGGCCCAUUUUUGCCAGUUUGGCCGAAGGCCCUUCCCGCCGAGCAGCAGCUGGCGCCUCUGCUGCGAGCCCCCUGGGGUUGCCUUGAUGCUGCGCAGCUGGGUGGGCACCUAAUACACCUCGAGGUGCUGUCAAAUGGCUAGCCAAGCGUGUGAGAUACCCCGGGAGCGACCAAAAAGCUGCGCCAAAAUAUGACAGGUAUGUUUGGCUUCUAUCGUUACGUAUGGGCAUUAAUGAUGUAGAAGAUAAGCGCGGAACAACUUGAACGAGCGAAGCUGGCGGGUGUGCAUUCAAAUAGCAUGGGCCAUGCGGGCUUCCUUAUUCACUUGGGAUUGUGCGUUUUGCAGGCGCAUGCAAGCCUGCCGCUUCACACUAUUAAACGAAAGUCAGUAGGAAAUGGCUGGGGAUACGAGAACUAUGGCCCCACCCGAAGACAAUUCUGCACUCGCGGAGCCGCUGCUCACAGCGUCGACAGAUGAGGAACCCCGCGUCAUUCCAAAAGGAGAGGGAACUGCAGAGGGCGCUGAUGCAUUCGGCGUGGCGGCAGCACUCACGGUAAGCACAGCGCUUUGGAGCUAACUGACGCCGCCGAGUCCCGGCGGCAGCUGCACGGCUCUCGCCCGCGCCAACCUGUCGCCCUUUCUCCCCAACCUGGUCUUGCAGAACCUGCGCAAGAUGUCGACCAUGUUCGUACCCUUGUAAGCGGGCGUGUUGACAAGAGACCGGUUGCGUCGGCCGACACAAGGCCCACCGCGGUGCUGCCUUCCAUCACACCACCGGGCGCUUUCAACCCUCUCCCCACGCCCCAUGCCCACGCGCUCCUCCCACCGCACGCGCCCCCUGCAGGUUCCUGAACCUCACCUGCUCCUACAGCAUCAACAUCGUCACGCUGGCCUUCGUGGGGCACCUGGGCAAGCAGGAGCUGGCGGCGGCGGCGCUGGCCACCAGCCUGGUGGGCAUCGUGGGCCGCACCGUCAUGUACGGCAUGGUGGGAGCCCUGGACACACUGGCCUCACAGGUGGGCGCACGGAGAGGCUGAGAGGUCGGGAGCCACUGAUAGGCAGGGCGGGGGGGGGGAAGCUCUCGGGAGGGCUGGGGCGCCCCGGGGCGGGGGCCGCCGGGGCUUGGCGGUGGGUCGCAUGGCGGCUGCCAGUUGCCGGCACCGUCGUGGGCUGCGGCUGAUUCCAGCCGUACCCCUCCCUGGCCACCAUCCCCACCACCACUGCCACUGCCACCACGGCCACCCCUGCCACCACCCCUGGACCCCACCCGCUCCUGCUCAGGCCUACGGCGCGGGCAACCUCGACGCCCUGGGCGCCCACUUCCGCACCGCCGUGCUGUUCCUGCUGCUGCACGCCGCGCCGCUGUUCUCACUGCUGGCGGCACUGCCGCUGCUGCUGCAGGAGGUGCGGCGUGUGAACGGAGGGGGGUUGGGGAGGCGGGAGGCUGAAGGGGCGUGGGGUCAGUGGCUGCAGAAGUGAGGGGUUGAGGCAGGGCCGUGCACUUCACUGGUGCCGAGCUGGCGGGGCGAGGGCGGGCAAAGCGGCGGGUGGAGCGAAGGAAUGGGCACGCCACACGGCGUCGCCAUGCCCACACCGCCACGACCACACACCCCACCCACCCCUACAUGCACCCCCACCCUACCUCCUUCCUUGCGGUCUCGCACACCUCCCACACCUCCCACACCUCCCACACCACAGGGCUCCGCGCCUGACGACCUGGGCUUCAUGGCUGGGCGCUACGUGCGCCACGUGCUGCCCUGGUUGGCGCUGGAGCUGCUGAACCGGCCGCUCAACAGCGUGCUGGUGGCGCAGCGCAUCACGCGGCCGCAGAUGACCAUACAGGUGGGGGGGCGGGGGGGGGGGGAAGGGGGGGGUUACAUUCAUGAUUAAUUAAGAAGUGAAGUCGUAGGCAGGUACAGUUGCAGAGUAGACGCGUUGUUACCGAUGUCCGUGAAGUCCAGGGGGGUAGGGGAGGCGGAGGCAGUGGAGGCGGGUGGAGGUGGGUGGUGGAGUGGACUGGGCACACACGCCCGGUCUCGGGCGAUCCGUUUGCUCUUAUAACACACGCGCUCGGCUUGUUUCCUCCCUGUUGCUCUCUAACACACUGCACAUUGCCUCCCUUGUGUUUUCACACACACACACACACACACACACACACACACACACACACACACACACACACACACACACACACACACACACACACACACACGCACGCACGCACACACGCACGCACGCACAUACACACACAGAUGGUGGCGCUGCCGCUGCACGUGGCCAACAACUACGUGCUGGUGUACGUGCUGCGCCUGGGCUACCUGGGCUCGGCCUGGGCCACCUGCCUCACCGCCGCCUACGGCCUGGCCGGCAUGCUGGGCUACGUGGCCUGGACGGGGCUGGGCGGCCGGCUGUGGCGCGGACCGCCCGUGCACAGCUCCAUCUGGAAGGUGUGUGCGGGCGCGUGGGUGGCGGCGGGUGGAUGUGGGGGGUGCGGGGAGGGGGGUCGUUUUCACCAUUCUAAUAGAAGCACAGGUCUGCGGUUGUUUGCAGGUGGGUGGGUGGGUGCGUGGGAAGGGGGCCACGGGGUGGAGAGCAUGUUUGGGUGUGUUUGGGUGUGCGGGCGCUUGAGCAACGUUCAUUGCACAAGCGCGGGGUGGGCUUGCUGUUCGUGUGGUUCUUUGAGGUUUCGGGCCCACACGAAUGACACGCGCAUGGCUUGAUGUGCUCCCGGCGUGUGUGUGUUCCCCCGCGCGCUCGGCCCACACAGGCACUGACGUCCUUCGCACAGCUGUCCUACCCGUCCUGCGUCAUGCGCUGCGCCGAGGUGCGUGCGGGAGCCCGCGCCGCCCGCCGAGCACGUCCACGCAACGUCGACCCACCACACCUCACACCCGCUCCUGCCCCAAUCCACUCCCGGGUGUGAAGGACUGCUUGAUAAACCAAUCAACCAUCCUCACAUCCUCCCGCCCAACCUCACACCACACGCACACGCACAGGUUCCGCCACAGUCCCUCUCCUUCUUACCUACCCCCCACACACACUCCUUUUCUUUUUCACCCCCCACACACACUCCCUCCCCCCUCCCCCCCGCUGCCCCUCUCCCCCCCCCCCAGAGCUGGGGCUUCUCGCUCAUGACUCUGGCCGCCGGCAAGCUGCCCGACCCCGGCACCGCCGUGGCCGCCGCCUCCAUCUCCUUCAACCUGUACGGCAUCCUGUACAUGGUGUUCCUGGCCUUCUCCAUGACCACCAGCACCGCGGUGGGCAACGCGCUGGGCUCAGGUGCGGGCGGGCGGGCGGGCGUGCAAGCGGGGGAGCCGGCGAAGCUCAGCAGCGCGAGCCGUGCCGGCCUUGUGCUGGGCACUGCUACCUGCCACGUAUGCCAAGUGCAGCACCGCCGCCGCCACGGCCAAUGCCAUGUAUCCCCCCCCCCACGACUUCACUUCUUAAUUAAUCAUGAAUGUAAACCCCCCCAUUCUGGCACCCCCGCACUGCAGGCAGCGCACGCGCCGCCCGCCACGCGGCGCUGACCUCCCUGGUCACCGCCCCCGCCAUGUGGUUCAUUGUGGCCACACUGCUCAUCGAGCCGCACACGCAGGUGCGGUGCGGGACCCGCUACUUGUGUGCCGCGCGCAAUCACCACACAGACACAUUGGCAGCAGCACCAUCACAUCUGCCGCCUCGUGCCCGGGGCCUGAGAAGCCUCGGCGCCGACGUUGACCCAGCGCACCUGCUGCUGCACUACCGCACCUGCUGCUCCACCUGCACACUCCCACCUCAGCCCCUGUUCCUGGUGGCUUGUGCCGCUGCUCCGCAGCUCCGCAGCCUCACGCCACCCACCGUGACGCCACCCCACCCCACCCCCGCAUCCCCACCGCUCGCUCCCUCCCGCCCCCCGGGCCCCGGCCCCGCAGCUGGCCCUGGCUCUCAUCUUCACGGACGGCCGCGACCCCGCCCUCAUGGGCCACCUGCGGCGCAUGCUGGUGCUGGUGGCGGUGCUGGAGCUGUUCGACGGCUCGCAGGUGGUCAUGACCGGAGUCAUACAGGUGGGCGGGUGGGGCGGGCGGGGUGGGUAGGUUGUAGAUACCAGCCCAUACUAAACCAAACCCAAUGCAAUAGAGCGAGGAGGAGAGGGGAGGGGAUGGGCGGGGAGGGGAGGGGAGGGGAUGGCUUGGGCAGGCGUGUGAGGGCAGGCGGGGCAGGGCGGUGAGGGGGCAGGAGGGUGAGGGGGCAGGAGGGUGGGUGGCGAUGCAGGAGGGUGGGUACUGGUGGGGGUGCUGGGGUUGGCAAGGGAGCUUCGCAAGGGGUUGGGGUGCCGGAGCGGUGCAAGGAGGGUAGCAAGAGAUGUCCACAAGAAAAGGGCGGGACGGGUAGCAGUCGUCCUACGGUAUUCCUGGAGCGAGUCAGGACCUUGAAUUCUGGCCUGCGACCCGCCGCCCGCUCCUCAUCCCUGCAGGGCGCGGGCAAGCAGCGGCUGGGCGUGCUGGUGAACAUCGUGGCCUUCUACGUGUGCGCCAUCCCCACCGCGCUGCUGCUGGCGUUCCGGUUGGGGUGGGGCGUGGAGGGCAUGUACACGGGCAUGCUGCUGGGACCGGCCAUACAGGUGGGAGGGGAGGGGAGGGGAGGGGCAUGCGUGCAAGGCCGCAGUGGCUGGUUUGGGAGGCACGUGUAGACGCAAGCGGGGUACCCAGAGCAUGUGCAGCUAUGCCUGUCUUCCAGCCGCGUUUGGAAACGACCGCCCUCCUUCCUCUACCCGCCUCGCUCAUGUGCAGGCGGUGUCCUACGUGUACAUCAUUGCGCGACUGGACUGGACGGCGGAGGCACGUGCGGUGGCGGCGCGGGCGGCCGCGUCCAGCACAGCGCAUGUGGACGCGCCGCGUGUGGCGGCGGCUGCCCUGCCGGGUGCGGGACAGGGACGGGCACAGAACGAUCGAGAGAACGCCAGCGCAGUGUGAGCAUGCCGGCGUGGUGCCCAUGCUUCUUGGUCUGCUUGGUGAUGUCAGGCGAGCGUUUGAUGGGGUGGCAGGCUUGGUAGGGGGCGUUGGAUACCCACCUGGAUGCUGCAGGCUGGCUGGGACGGGGUGCACAGAGAUGGAAUGGUCACUGUGUAAAGCCGGGCGUUCUCGUGUUGGUCCGUGUGCUUCCGUUCACGUUUGUGAUGUGCAAAUUCGGGUUGUGUGUCACUUAUGAUUAUGGCAUUGUGAGCGUGCUGAGUAUUGUUUGCUCGUUUAGCGCUCGCGGCGCCGGCCCCUCUGCUCGACGAGGUCGCCCCUGUGUGCUGCUGUGGCAUGGUCCUGUGGCACGCAGAACGCAAGGGUCCCCUUGCGACCUCCUUACUCGAAUCCUUUCGACUCGGAUGCUUAUUUAGCCCUCGGUGAUGAACUCUUUAUUUGUACCUGCGCGCGCGUUCAGGCACUGGCACACUGGUGGUCGAUUAUACUGUGUUCUCGAAAUGGUGACAACUUGUUUGCUAGGAAAGGGGCUCACCACUGGAUGGGUAUGUAUGGAAGGGCCGAUUUGCGUUGUCGCGCUCGGCACGCUGUGGUAUGGGCUGGGUGGUGGUUGUGCAGGUUUUCCGCAGGUUGCGGGAUGCGGCUGCUGUUGCAUCACCAAUUCAGCCUUGCGUCCUUGUUCUAAUGGGAUGCUAGCCUGCACUGCGGUGUGUGGCUCCGCACCGCGAGGUAGGAAUAGGAGCGGACCGGGUUUAUAAAGAGGGCACCUGGCCGUCGGAAGUGGUCAUCAGAAUAACACAGCAUGUGACCCGGGAAAUUACAGGUGUGUCAGGAGGUUUGCGUGUGAGACCAGGGUCAUGUGGACUCGGAAAGCGAGCCGAUGACAAGCAUGGCUGCCCACACCUAGUAACUACUGACGUGAGAGAGGCGCACUCAGCCCCAACGUGCAGGCAAAGUGCACGUAUGUAAGCCCGUUUGCGGCUCCACUUCUAUUUACCUGCAGCGGCGGAAGGCGUGUCCUGGCACUAGCUAGAUGCCCCGCCCCCGGUCUCCUCAACGCUCCCCUGCGACACGCAACAUGGCCGAUUGGCCGUUGAGUCUACAACACGCGACACGACACAACGCAGGCACCUGGCAUGCACAUCCAGCCAGAUCCCAAGCACUGAUCCGCAACAGCAACACUGCAACAGCAUACAUCAUCAAGCCUGCGGCAUGAAGUCUACGGGAUGUAUGGGCCUACUUAGCUAUGGGCCCCUCAGCGCCGCGCCCCCUUGCCACGCACCCCGCCGCCCGCCCCACCCGCGCCGCCCCUGUUGCCAAUCGUCCCCAAACACCCGCCCGCCGUGCCCGUGCCGCCGCCUUCGCCGCACACGUGGCUGGUGCACUGCGCUCCCUUGCCGCACGCCACCUCGCACCCGCCCACCGCAGCCGCCGCGGCAGGGCCGCACCAGCUCCGCCUCGCUGUCUCCCGCCAGAUUGGCGCAGCAGGGGUUGGCGCACACACGCAGCGCCGCCCGCGCCGCCGCCAGCCCCACCGCCACCAUCUGAGCCGCGGCGUCCAUGGCGGCGCCCACGGCGGCGGUGGCGGCGGCACUGCUGGCUGCGGCGCCAGCGCCGCCGCUCGUCCCCAGCACACCCGGCCCCGCCGCCUCCCGCAGCACCUCGCCCGCGCGACCGGGCGCACUCUGCAGCAGCCCCCGGACCACCCCUGCAGUCCAGGGGCUGUGGCAGGGCCCGGGCUGCUCCAGCGCCGCCGCCAGCUGCACCCCAGGCUCGUGCGGCCGCCGCCGCUGCUGCUGCCAUCGUCGGCUGCAGCGCUGCUUCCGCGCAGCGCGAUCGCCGCCUCCACCGGAGCGCAAUGUACCACACUGACGAGGAGUUUCAAAGUGGACUGGGCGCGGGUGCUGCUGCUGCCCGCCGCCGCUGCUCUGCCGCCCCGCUGCUGCUUGCCGGCCAGCCGCUGCUCCUGCACCAUUGCUGCCGUCAGAGCUCGCAGCAUGUGCCCGCCCGCCGCCAGCGCACGGCGCCAGUCCGCCACCUGCUGCUGCCGCUGGCAGCGGCUGCCGCCUGCGUCGCCGUCGACAGCGGCCGCAGCGGCUGCAGCCACGGCCGCAGCGACGCUGCGGUCGACUGCAGCCACGGCCGCGUCAGCCUCCGCCGUGAGCACCGAUGCAGCGGACGCAGCGGACGCCGACGUCGUCGCGGACGGGUUAUCAGCGAGGCUCAGCAGGUGUAUUCUGGUGAGGAGUGCAUGCUCCGCGGCCCGUCCGGGGCUUUCCGUGGGCCGCCGGUCCAUUGCCAAGCGCUAAUACAUAUGCGCGAUUACCGUAUGUGGAAAUGAGGAUGCAAGCCAGCGCGAUAAACCGAAAGGAGUUUAAGUCCAGAGCCGCCGAUCCCAAGGGCUGAUCCCGUCCCGCUGCCCAGCAGCCCGCCGUUCCGCCUCGUCGCCCGCCUGUCCUCCAGACUCCCCGCUUACCCGCUCAUCCCCCCAGCCGACCACAUCGCCAUCCUUAGCGCUAUUUUAUCUUGUGCAUGCAACGGCUGUCAAACAAUGCAUUCGCCUUCACCUCUACCGGGCGUCACCGCGGCAGAAAGACAUCCUCGGGCCGGGGUGACCAGCUGGGCUGCGGGCGGCAUGAUUUCAAGGGAUUGCCUGUCCCCAGGCCCUUUUCUCGUACAUUGCAUUGAAUUGCCCAGUUCGAAAAGUGCUGUCCAUUUGCAUUGUCGCGAAUGCAACCUUACCGGGGACUCGCCCGCCUGGGUUCGUGCCGACGCAGCAUCUCCAUCCCGCGUUUGUGGUGCCUUCUGUCAAAUGGUGCACCAGAACUUCGUGUGUACAUAAAACUGACACAGAUGAGGCGCGUUCUCGCUAUCGUUGCGCUGCUGGCGCUGGCCAGCAGUGCUUUCGCGGAAAUCAAGCUGCAACAAGUGGAUCGCAAGGUAUCCUGCAUGAUAGAAACUGUUAUGGCUACGUGUACUACUACAUGAAGGAGGGAUGCUUUAACCUGGCUUCUGCGUGUCCCAACUCGGCGCAGAUCAACCUGAACUCACAGUUCGCUCGCAUAUCGGAGGCCGUAAAGGCAAAGAAUGUGGGCGACAAGCCCGUUUCGGAUGUGGUGUUCUGCCAGCUGCUGAACGGAGAUGCAGUGGUGUCGCUCUACAAGGUGAGCCGGACGAUCCCCCUGGCUUAGGCACACUGGGCACUUCGUGCCUGUUAAACAUGCCUAAUGCAUGUUCCGGUUAUAAUGUGCAGGUUGUAAAUGCAGACACCAAGGCGGAGCUGACGGUGAGGCCCGGGGCUGGGACGGGCCUGUGUACGCGCCACACUGUUGCCCGUGCAAGCCCCGUCGCGGCCGCAGGGGAUGGGCCGCUGGGACGGGGUCUGGGGUCUGGCUGGUAACACUGAACGCUUCAAUAUCCACUCUGUUACACCCUUCAGCCAUGCACACACCCGCUCUUCAGCCAUGCACGCACGCACUCUUGUGCACACUCCUUCAUAACUCACAGGUGUCGCCCACGACUGUGGAGGGCGCGCCUGCCGGCGCCGCCUGCUUCAGCGCCAAGCUGGCCGCGCCGCUGGCCGCCGGGGAUACCGCCAGCCUGACCGUGACGGCGGUGCUGGCCAAGGCGCAGGUGCCGUACCCCAAGGAGAUCAGCCAGACGGAGGGGCAGCUGAUGCUGUACAAGGACAACCUGUACGUGCUGUCGCCGUACGCCGUGUCUGCACAGACCACCGAGGUACGGCAGGGGGGCCUAAAGGGGUGAGAUUGAGCGGGGGACGGGAAAGCAGCGAUGGAGUGGGAACGCUACAACGGAAGCAGGGGCGAGGGGGCCACAGGCGUUGCCAGUGAGGGCGGCGGCAGCAAGUGUGGGCUGGGCGGGCGCGCUGUGCGUUGGGCGCUGAUAAUGUCGGGGGCGCACACGUGACGCAGCCGCGUGUUGGACGAAGGCGGCAGCGAGGACGGCGGCUACGAUUGCGGCAGCAGCAGCAGCAGCGGAGACUGGAGGCGCAGGCGAGGCCGUGGAGCUGAUUUGGUCAGGCUCAGCCUGGCUCGUCAGAGGUAGCAAAGCGGGGGCUGUGUCGGAGUAUGUCCUUUCGCGGAACAGCCACGGCGACGGCGGCAGCGGCUGCUGCUGCGGCAGCGGCUGGACGCGAUGGGCUUGAGCUUCAGUCCCGGUUGAACAAGGGGCCCGGCGCGGCGCGGUGGAGCGGCCGCAGCAGCAGCAGCAAUAGCAGCAGCAACGAGCAUGGCGCCGCCAGGACGCAGAGAUAUGCGGGCAGUCAGGAAGGCCGUUGCAGUGCCAGGCGGCAGGCAGGCCGCAGGCUGGUGGAGCAGGAGUCGGCGCAAUGAGGCGCAGUGCUGAGGCGCAGUGCUGGGGCGCAGCGCCACCGCCGGGCUGCUCGGACGCGCGACGGGGGCAGCGGCGCCGCGCAACAGGCGCAUGGCAGGCGCACACACAUAUAUACCAUACAUACACACACAUACACACAUACACUGUCUUUGCGCUAUGUUUUCCUUGUGCUCUUUAACACACACACAUAUACACACACACACACACACACACACACACACACACACACGCGCGCGCGCUCCGGUCACGCGCACCUGGUCAGCAGCCCUGCGCCUCCCGCUACCCGGUACCCUGCCCAGCAUCACUCCCCGCACCACCUGGCCUGCCGCUUGCUGCCCCCGCUGCAGGUGACCACCCCCAGCAGCAGCGUCAAGAGCUACACCGACAGCGAGAAGCCGGUGUCCAAGUCCGACAACAAGAUCAAGUACGGCAAGUACGACCUGAUCAAGCCCUGGACCCUGCAGGAGCUGUCGGUGCACUUUGAGAACAACAAGCCCUUCAAGCAUGUGAGUGUUUGUGCGUGUGUGUGUGUGUGUGUGUGUCUGUAGGAAGCAAAACGGAAGAGAGCGCCAAGCGCCAAACGUUGCCUGUGUCUGAAUGUGUGUGUUUGCGUGCGUGUGCAUGCUUGUGAUGGAAACCAAGCGCGCGUGCGCCUGUUCCUGUGUUCAUGGGCAGCAAGCAUAUGUGUGGAGCCCAGUGAAAGGGAAGUUAAGACCUACCACACCUCACCACACACCUCACACCCCUCCCACACCUCCGCACAGAUUGUGACGUACGUCAAGGAGAUCGAGGUGUCGCACUGGGGCAACAUCUACGUGGAGGAGAAGUACGAGAUCAAGAACGCGGGCGCGCGCCACUCGGGCUCCUUUUCGCGCCUCAAGUACGCGCACUCCUACAACGGCAAGGCCAACUCCUUCCGGGUGAGUGAGGGUGUGUGUGUGAGUGUGAUGGUGCGUUAAAGCGCAUUCGGCGAUGUCAGAUGUAUCUUCACACACGACCACUGCGCUCGCAUGCGUCGCUCCAGCCCCCCCCCCCCCUGCCCACCUCCAUCUCUCACUGCCCCACCUUCCAGGACGUGCGCGCCGUGCUGCCCCCCUCGGCCCGCUCGCUGUACUACGUGGACCUCAUCGGCAACAUCAGCUCCUCCAACACCCGCAAGACCGUGCAGGCGGUGAGCGAGGCAGGCGGCGGCUGGGAAGCGGGGAGUGGAUAAUUGUUUCAGGAAGGGCGGGUGGUGUAGGAGCUUGGGACAAGAGAUAUUGGACAAUGUUUAUGGUCUUUUGCCGGGCCUCAUGACCACCCGCACACUCGUGAACCCCCUCUCAAUCCCUCACACACGCGCGCCCAAUUACUCACAUACACGCCUCUGCCAACCCACCCACCCCCAGACGGUUGUGGACAUCGACCUGCGCUACCCGCUCAUGGGCGGCUGGAAGGUGGACUUCACCCUGGGUAAGUCUAUGUGCGGGUGUGUUUGUGUUUGUGGGGCAGGGGGAGCGCCGCGGCCGCUGCGGGAGUGAGUGGGGCGCGGUAAUGCGGCUGGGGCGGGGAUGUUUGGGGGUAAGAGCGUUUGGGCUGCAGUGGAGCUAUCCUGAGGGGGCAUGGUUGCAUGGCCCCGGUACGCAACCGCCGUCGCCACACACGUGCCUCAUAGCCGCUCCGCCCUCUCCUCUCCUCAACUAUGCCCUCCCCCCUCCCUUCCCCUCACCUCCCCCCCUAUCUCAGGCUACUCUGUGCCUCUGACCGGCUUCCUGUUCCACACCAAGGGCGGCCGCCGCAAGCUCACCAUGGACCUGGCCUCGCCGCUGGAGGACGUGUUCGUGGAGGACAUGGUGGUGCGGGUGAGGCAAGGGGAGGGGGCGGGGGGGGGGGGCCAGGGGGCGGGGUUGAGGGGCGGGGGAGGUGAGAAGUUGCAGGUGACGGAGCCAUGGGAGAGAAGGCGGAGGCGGAGGUAUGCGAAGGCAGGCAGAGGCAUUGUCCUGCGCCGUCCCUUCCCGGGUCGUGCUCUCUACGCAACGCGCGCCCCUGCCCCCCCCCUACGCCUUCACUUCUUAAAUGAUCAUGAAUGUCAAAACCCCCCCUGCCCAGGUGGUCCUGCCCGAGGGCUCCUCCAAGCUCCAGGCGGUGCUGCCCUACGACAUGGACCAGAGCACCGACGUCAAGUGCGUGGGGUGCGAGCAGGGGCGAGCGGGAAGGGGGGGAGCGGGCCGCGUGUGUGUAGGGGGGGGAGGAGGGGGUUGUAGAUACCAGCCCAAACUGAACCGAACCCAAUGCAUUGGGGGGCCAUUGAUGAAGGCCGGCGGCUCCAGUCCGAGAUCAGCCGGGACCCAGCGGUGGAAACAGUGUCGGUUUCAAUGCACGCCCCCCGGAGAGGCAGCUGUGUAGGCAGAGGCACCUACAGCCUCCGCCUACACAGCUGCCUCCCCGGCACACACCUUCCACGCGCUAAAGUGCACCUCCCCAGGCGCCCAACCUCCUGUCAAUCAUCGCCCUCGCCUAACCUAGUACCGUUUGCACGACACCUGCCCUAUUCCCCCCCCCCCCGCGCGCGCAGGUACACCUACCUGGACACCACCGGCCGCCCGGUGCUGGUGCUUCACCGCCGCAACGUGGCCUCGCCCGAGCACAGCGCCAAGUUCAGUGUGGAGUACUCGUUCGCGGCCACCUCCAUCCUGCGCGAGCCGCUGCUGCUGGUGAGAGAGGCAGAGCGCAGGGGGGCGAGGGGCGGGAGGGGGGGAGCGAGGGACGAGGGACACGGGGUGUGCCAGAGCGCGCACGGCACUGCCCAGCACGGCACCUUGCGUGUGUGUGACCUCGUGGGGUCUUGUGAACCCUGUGCGCAAUCACGUUGAAGCCUCUCACCGUGCUGCACAUUGCAACCCCCCCCCUCUUCCUCUCCCUCUCCCUCUCCCCCGCUUUCCUCCACCGUGUAGGUCUCUGUGUUCUUCUGCCUGUUCGCGGCCGUGAUCGCCUACAACCGCCUGGAGCUGGUGAUCACGCGCGACGACAAGUGGGCGGCGGCGCGCGACAGGGAGGUGCUGGCAACCUACAUGGAGCAGAUCCAGGCGGCGCUGGAGGGUGAGGCGGGGGCGGAGGUGGAAGGGGCACAGGGAGGGAGGGAGGGAGGGCUGGGGAUGGGCUGAGCCCAGCGGGAAUGUCCCUGUCCCAGUGUCACCCAGAGAAGGCCCAGGGGCCGGCCCAUGCGAUGACUGGGACCUUCAGCUUGGUGAUUAGGCGCGACCGCCGGGAUGGCGCUGGCCGACCAUGUGUGCACCUGCUUGCACCCCUGCUUUCCCCACCCCGCGCCCCGCGUUCCGCUUUUCCUUCCGAACUUGGCAAUCCCGCUGCCCCACUGCCCCCGCCCCCAGACGAGGCCUCCCUCAUGGCCGGCUUCGAGGCCGCCACCCGGGCGGUGCGCGACACCGAGGACGUGGACGCGGCUCAGCGCAAGCGGGCGGCGGUGGAGAAGGGGUGCAAGGACCUGGAGGACAAGGUGGGGGCAAGCAAGGGGCAGGGACAGCGAGAGGCUGAGGGGUAGGCCACACAAGAUGUGCCGUAUGCGGAAUCGGUCGUGCCUGACUGCGUUUAUAUGUACCGGCUCCACACCAUCACUUCGCCCCCACCACCCGCGCGUGGCUGCUGCUUUCCAGUGCUUCACCCCCACGCUGACCCCCGCGUUCACUCGGUUGGCUUGCUGUGGUAUUCUGGAAUGAACUACCCCACCUCGCACCCCAACCCAAUCAACCCCACCCAACCCAACACUGCGUGCACAGGUGAAGCCGCUGCUGGCUGCCGUGGAGUCGCGCUCCGCCCGUGUCGCGGGCCAGGUGCGCGAGGUGCUGGACAAGUCCAAGGCGCUGCAGGCUCGCUACGGCCGGCAGCUGGCGGAGCGGGUGGAGCUGGUCAAGAAGGGCAGCACCAUGGGGGUGAGGAGCAAGGGGGGGUCCACCAUUGCGAAUAAGGAACUGGAGACACGAGGGUGUCAGGACAAGCGGGAGGAAGGGAGGAAAUGUGGUGCACAGGGUCGGUAUUCGCGACGGGGGCGCCCCAGGCAAUUACAGCUGUGCGGUGCUGCAUUAGGGCUCGCCCUGUCACCCACCACAGCACACCUGCUCCGCUGCCCCCCCGCCCCCAUGCCAACCCUCCCUGCACUGCUCCCCCCCAGGAGAUCAGCCGCAAGCUGGCUCCGGGCCAGGAGGCUUUGGAGGCUGCCCGCCGCGAGCUCAAGAACGCUAUCGACACCGUGUUCGGCGCGUACUGAGCGACCUGCUAGGGGGCCUGUGUGGCAUGAUGAUGGAGGUGGUGUUGUUAUGGAGGUGUGGUGAGAUGAGGAGGUGGCCUUGAAAAGCGGACACGUAGGGACAGGCAGUGACAGGCCGGCCCGCUGCAUACACAGGUGGGAGCCGGAGGAGGUGUGAGGUAUGGUCCAAGCCCCAACGACAUUGUGCUCUUGCCUUCUCCGAUACGCAUUCAAAUAGUUCAUCUGCGUUUAAUAUGGUAUGAUCCUGGUCCCAAGGGUUUAGAGGUACGGGCACGGGUAGGGGGGUGUUGCGUGUGCCUGUGUUGCUCGUCGUGUUUGCAGGGCAGACGGAACCGUGGCAGACGCUGUGCACCCAUUCCAGAGCAUCUUGGUUACAUGUGCCCCUGCCCAACCGGGGUGAGGUAUGACGCCACCACUGCACCCGCCCUUUGGACCUGUGCUGCCGCCCAAAUCAGAGCGCCACUUCCCUGCCCGCCGACCGCCACUACCGCCCGGUAACGUACACUCCGUGACUCCGUUCGCACUAGCUAGCGCGUCCAGAUUCCCCUUCUGCCUAAAGCCUACCGUAUGUCUAAAGUCUUCAGCAGUAUUCUCCUCGCAUCGACCCCGCUCGCGCUCUCCAACCGUCCUAGGGAGCGUCGGACGUCCUCCAGCUCUGCUUAGCCACGUGCAGACGCAUUGUGUUUGAUAAAACAAGUGAUAUGAGUACGAAUAGUCAGUCACAGAAUGAGGGCGCCUAUAACUCUCCCUCGUCGGAGUUCACCGGCCCGACGUUACCGGCCCCGGGCGCGCCUGAAUCCGUGGAAGGUGAGCGGGGACAGGCGCGGGGGCGCCCUCAGCAUCGGCAGCGAGCAGGCACGCCCUCCGCACGCGGACUCAGCUGAGUAAGCCCCCCCCCUUAUGGGUGCGCCGCACCCCCGGGGCACGCUAACAGUCGUGGACGCCCUCGCGGCCUUCAACGUGCUGCUCGCCCUCCUACAAGCGUACUUCCCGUCGACGAAGGUUGUCGCGAUGAUUCUCCUCGGAGUUGCAGUGACAGGUGAAGCCACCCCAGGAGGGCAGGAUGGGCAGCACAACGUCACUGCUACUCCGAUUAGGAUCAUCGCGACAACCUUCGUCGACGGGAAGCACGCUUGAAGGAGGGCGAGCAGCACGUUGAAGGCCGCGAGGGUGUCCACGACUGUGAAAAGGGGAGGAUGCCGCUAAGCCAGCUUCUCGUGCGCUGGGCCUGAGGUGAAGCCGCAGAAUGACAGCGCCAGGUGCAGAAACCACGUGACAUCCUCUGCGCAGGUUGUGCGAAAUACGUUGGGCAUCGACUGUUCAGCUGCAUCGAAAGUGUCCCCGGUACUCACCCUUGCUGAACCAUCUCUGCUCUUCCCGCAGCGCCUGGAGCUCGGCGCGUAUUUCGGCCCUGAGUGCUGCCAGCUCCUCCUGGAACUGCUGCGGCUGCUGCGGCUGCUGCGGUACCGCGUCCAUUUCAGCAGUCGGAAUUAAGCAAAGUCUUUCGAGGAGUUAGUGCGUUUCCGGUUUGGUCAGCCGCAGACACUUGAUCCCACAAUUCCAGCGACUUUUGCGACCGGCUCUCCACCGACCGCUUGGAUGCUUGCGCCCGGUCGCUGCCCCAGCUACUUCCGCGGUGAAAUAACAACGGUGAGCACUCUCAACCACUGCGAGGACAGCCCUAGCAACCGCACUGCGUAAGAAGUACAGCAUCGAUUUGCUGCAUGUUGAUUUUGGCGCAAAUGGGGGGUGCAAGCAGUUUGUUUCUCUCAGACGCGAGCUAGCGCCCAAGCGCGCGAUAUGGGGGCGAGGAGCCACUAUGUAGCUGUAACGAUUGCAUGAGUGGCGAAUUUUACUUCGAGGGUCUAGGGUGCGAGCGGAGUGGGAUUACCCCCCGAGGGGCACGCCAUGCGCUCAGGCCCCAUGCAACAGAAAUUCGCCGGGCACCAACCCACGCACAGAUAAUUCAUAGGACUACACCAUAGCCAUCAGAGACCGGCCGGGAACAAGCCCCGCAAGCGGGGCAGCAUGGGCGCGACACCACCCUGCCGCGCCAACUCACCCCAAACACGCCCCAACCACUUGUGCGACACAAGGGCUACCAUACAGUAGCGCGCGACACCUAAUCGCGUGCGCCGGAGUGUGCGAGCAAACAUUGUACGGAGGAGCUCGUUUGGGCCCUAGGACGCAGGGCCUGGGCUGGCAUUUGGUGCAUUCAAUAGAGCAUAGAAAACCGAGGCCACAUAUGUGCUCGGGUGCGCAAAGGUCGGCGGAAUUGUGGGAUCAAGUGACGUGGAAAUGGAUCUGGGGGACUGCGGGGUUUUGGGGUGUGUUGGGUUGGUGGCGUGAAGGGUGUGAUUUGUGAGGAAUUUAUCGAUGCAUGCCAAGUUGCACGCCUUUCCCCUGUGUUUCCUACAUGCCCCUGAACCCUCCCUUUGCUGGCUGCAGGCGAAGCGACAAGUGGUACCGCUGGUACCACCCACGGGGGCCUUGUGCCCAAGCCGGGNNNNNNNNNNNNNNNNNNNNNNNNNNNNNNNNNNNNNNNNNNNNNNNNNNNNNNNNNNNNNNNNNNNNNNNNNNNNNNNNNNNNNNNNNNNNNNNNNNNNUGGUACUAUACACGUGGCGGUCAUCGACAUUGCUUUGUGCCGGCGCGCAGCACCCAGGAUGUGCGGCGAUCGCUGAAAUGCAGUUGUGGGGUCCACACUCAUAUGGCACCCACGCCCCACACAGCACUGAUGCAGGGCUCCUGCAGCCGUCACGCCAUGGGAAUCAGCAUAUGGGCAGUGGCCUGUGCAUACUUCUCUGUGGCCUGGCGGGGCAUCUGGCCAGGGCGUUUGACUAGCGGCAUGGGGCCUGCACGCCGGUAGGGGGGCGCAGGCCCAAAAUGAUGCAAGGAAGCUGAUGUGUUGCGUGAGGUGCGCAGCGGUUCCUGAUGGACGUGGGUGCUUUCAUGCGUAUGUAUAUUGGCUAUGUGUGUUGAUCUUUGCACCAGGGUGGUGUCGCCGCGCAGCGGAGCAUUGGUGUUGGUGCACGGGGCGUGAACAUUGGGGCCCGCAGUUGGGAUCGCGCCGGCACGGUCGCGGGCACCGCUGAAGAUAUGUUGGCGCGACCGGUCGCUUAUGGUGCACGCUAAUACCCGCAUACUGUGUGUAAGCACCGAUUGCAAUUAUAAGUUGCGCAUGUAGAUAUCGGUCUUCUCCCGACAUGCGCUCUGAUGACGGUUCCAUUUCCGCCAACUUAGGGUGAGAGUUAAGAGCCGGAGCCCUGUUGCCACCUGCAAAAUGCCUUAGCAACAUGUGGCAACUAUCUGCCCGAAGCAAGUUGCAAGCCAGCCCAGUUCAGGUUGCCACAUGCCAUGCUGGGUAUUCCCAGCGCGCUAGCGCACCUGCUUGGGCAGCUCGCUAUGGCUGCCGUCGACAGUUGACCCUGGUAUGCCAUCGCUAGAGUCGCAGCCCGCUCCGGCCAACCUCGCUCCUCCGCAACCGACACACGAACCCGACGUCACUUGAUCCCACAAUUCCAGCGACUUUUGCGACCGGCUCUCCACCGACCGCUUGGAUGCUUGCGCCCGGUCGCUGCCCCAGCUACUUCCGCGGUGAAAUAACAACGGUGAGCACUCUCAACCACUGCGAGGACAGCCCUAGCAACCGCACUGCGUAAGAAGUACAGCAUCGAUUUGCUGCAUGUUGAUUUUGGCGCAAAUGGGGGGUGCAAGCAGUUUGUUUCUCUCAGACGCGAGCUAGCGCCCAAGCGCGCGAUAUGGGGGCGAGGAGCCACUAUGUAGCUGUAACGAUUGCAUGAGUGGCGAAUUUUACUUCGAGGGUCUAGGGUGCGAGCGGAGUGGGAUUACCCCCCGAGGGGCACGCCAUGCGCUCAGGCCCCAUGCAACAGAAAUUCGCCGGGCACCAACCCACGCACAGAUAAUUCAUAGGACUACACCAUAGCCAUCAGAGACCGGCCGGGAACAAGCCCCGCAAGCGGGGCAGCAUGGGCGCGACACCACCCUGCCGCGCCAACUCACCCCAAACACGCCCCAACCACUUGUGCGACACAAGGGCUACCAUACAGUAGCGCGCGACACCUAAUCGCGUGCGCCGGAGUGUGCGAGCAAACAUUGUACGGAGGAGCUCGUUUGGGCCCUAGGACGCAGGGCCUGGGCUGGCAUUUGGUGCAUUCAAUAGAGCAUAGAAAACCGAGGCCACAUAUGUGCUCGGGUGCGCAAAGGUCGGCGGAAUUGUGGGAUCAAGUGACGUGGAAAUGGAUCUGGGGGACUGCGGGGUUUUGGGGUGUGUUGGGUUGGUGGCGUGAAGGGUGUGAUUUGUGAGGAAUUUAUCGAUGCAUGCCAAGUUGCACGCCUUUCCCCUGUGUUUCCUACAUGCCCCUGAACCCUCCCUUUGCUGGCUGCAGGCGAAGCGACAAGUGGUACCGCUGGUACCACCCACGGGGGCCUUGUGCCCAAGCCGUGGUGGCGCAUGGUAACUAUACACGUGGCGGUCAUCGACAUUGCUUUGUGCCGGCGCGCAGCACCCAGGAUGUGCGGCGAUCGCUGAAAUGCAGUUGUGGGGUCCACACUCAUAUGGCACCCACGCCCCACACAGCACUGAUGCAGGGCUCCUGCAGCCGUCACGCCAUGGGAAUCAGCAUAUGGGCAGUGGCCUGUGCAUACUUCUCUGUGGCCUGGCGGGGCAUCUGGCCAGGGCGUUUGACUAGCGGCAUGGGGCCUGCACGCCGGUAGGGGGGCGCAGGCCCAAAAUGAUGCAAGGAAGCUGAUGUGUUGCGUGAGGUGCGCAGCGGUUCCUGAUGGACGUGGGUGCUUUCAUGCGUAUGUAUAUUGGCUAUGUGUGUUGAUCUUUGCACCAGGGUGGUGUCGCCGCGCAGCGGAGCAUUGGUGUUGGUGCACGGGGCGUGAACAUUGGGGCCCGCAGUUGGGAUCGCGCCGGCACGGUCGCGGGCACCGCUGAAGAUAUGUUGGCGCGACCGGUCGCUUAUGGUGCACGCUAAUACCCGCAUACUGUGUGUAAGCACCGAUUGCAAUUAUAAGUUGCGCAUGUAGAUAUCGGUCUUCUCCCGACAUGCGCUCUGAUGACGGUUCCAUUUCCGCCAACUUAGGGUGAGAGUUAAGAGCCGGAGCCCUGUUGCCACCUGCAAAAUGCCUUAGCAACAUGUGGCAACUAUCUGCCCGAAGCAAGUUGCAAGCCAGCCCAGUUCAGGUUGCCACAUGCCAUGCUGGGUAUUCCCAGCGCGCUAGCGCACCUGCUUGGGCAGCUCGCUAUGGCUGCCGUCGACAGUUGACCCUGGUAUGCCAUCGCUAGAGUCGCAGCCCGCUCCGGCCAACCUCGCUCCUCCGCAACCGACACACGAACCCGACGUCUGACGUGGAAAUGGAUCUGGGGGACUGCGGGGUUUUGGGGUGUGUUGGGUUGGUGGCGUGAAGGGUGUGAUUUGUGAGGAAUUUAUCGAUGCAUGCCAAGUUGCACGCCUUUCCCCUGUGUUUCCUACAUGCCCCUGAACCCUCCCUUUGCUGGCUGCAGGCGAAGCGACAAGUGGUACCGCUGGUACCACCCACGGGGGCCUUGUGCCCAAGCCGUGGUGGCGCAUGGUAACUAUACACGUGGCGGUCAUCGACAUUGCUUUGUGCCGGCGCGCAGCACCCAGGAUGUGCGGCGAUCGCUGAAAUGCAGUUGUGGGGUCCACACUCAUAUGGCACCCACGCCCCACACAGCACUGAUGCAGGGCUCCUGCAGCCGUCACGCCAUGGGAAUCAGCAUAUGGGCAGUGGCCUGUGCAUACUUCUCUGUGGCCUGGCGGGGCAUCUGGCCAGGGCGUUUGACUAGCGGCAUGGGGCCUGCACGCCGGUAGGGGGGCGCAGGCCCAAAAUGAUGCAAGGAAGCUGAUGUGUUGCGUGAGGUGCGCAGCGGUUCCUGAUGGACGUGGGUGCUUUCAUGCGUAUGUAUAUUGGCUAUGUGUGUUGAUCUUUGCACCAGGGUGGUGUCGCCGCGCAGCGGAGCAUUGGUGUUGGUGCACGGGGCGUGAACAUUGGGGCCCGCAGUUGGGAUCGCGCCGGCACGGUCGCGGGCACCGCUGAAGAUAUGUUGGCGCGACCGGUCGCUUAUGGUGCACGCUAAUACCCGCAUACUGUGUGUAAGCACCGAUUGCAAUUAUAAGUUGCGCAUGUAGAUAUCGGUCUUCUCCCGACAUGCGCUCUGAUGACGGUUCCAUUUCCGCCAACUUAGGGUGAGAGUUAAGAGCCGGAGCCCUGUUGCCACCUGCAAAAUGCCUUAGCAACAUGUGGCAACUAUCUGCCCGAAGCAAGUUGCAAGCCAGCCCAGUUCAGGUUGCCACAUGCCAUGCUGGGUAUUCCCAGCGCGCUAGCGCACCUGCUUGGGCAGCUCGCUAUGGCUGCCGUCGACAGUUGACCCUGGUAUGCCAUCGCUAGAGUCGCAGCCCGCUCCGGCCAACCUCGCUCCUCCGCAACCGACACACGAACCCGACGUCAGACGUGGAAAUGGAUCUGGGGGACUGCGGGGUUUUGGGGUGUGUUGGGUUGGUGGCGUGAAGGGUGUGAUUUGUGAGGAAUUUAUCGAUGCAUGCCAAGUUGCACGCCUUUCCCCUGUGUUUCCUACAUGCCCCUGAACCCUCCCUUUGCUGGCUGCAGGCGAAGCGACAAGUGGUACCGCUGGUACCACCCACGGGGGCCUUGUGCCCAAGCCGUGGUGGCGCAUGGUAACUAUACACGUGGCGGUCAUCGACAUUGCUUUGUGCCGGCGCGCAGCACCCAGGAUGUGCGGCGAUCGCUGAAAUGCAGUUGUGGGGUCCACACUCAUAUGGCACCCACGCCCCACACAGCACUGAUGCAGGGCUCCUGCAGCCGUCACGCCAUGGGAAUCAGCAUAUGGGCAGUGGCCUGUGCAUACUUCUCUGUGGCCUGGCGGGGCAUCUGGCCAGGGCGUUUGACUAGCGGCAUGGGGCCUGCACGCCGGUAGGGGGGCGCAGGCCCAAAAUGAUGCAAGGAAGCUGAUGUGUUGCGUGAGGUGCGCAGCGGUUCCUGAUGGACGUGGGUGCUUUCAUGCGUAUGUAUAUUGGCUAUGUGCUUCCANNNNNNNNNNNNNNNNNNNNNNNNNNNNNNNNNNNNNNNNNNNNNNNNNNNNNNNNNNNNNNNNNNNNNNNNNNNNNNNNNNNNNNNNNNNNNNNNNNNNUGCCUUAGCAACAUGUGGCAACUAUCUGCCCGAAGCAAGUUGCAAGCCAGCCCAGUUCAGGUUGCCACAUGCCAUGCUGGGUAUUCCCAGCGCGCUAGCGCACCUGCUUGGGCAGCUCGCUAUGGCUGCCGUCGACAGUUGACCCUGGUAUGCCAUCGCUAGAGUCGCAGCCCGCUCCGGCCAACCUCGCUCCUCCGCAACCGACACACGAACCCGACGUCACUUGAUCCCACAAUUCCAGCGACUUUUGCGACCGGCUCUCCACCGACCGCUUGGAUGCUUGCGCCCGGUCGCUGCCCCAGCUACUUCCGCGGUGAAAUAACAACGGUGAGCACUCUCAACCACUGCGAGGACAGCCCUAGCAACCGCACUGCGUAAGAAGUACAGCAUCGAUUUGCUGCAUGUUGAUUUUGGCGCAAAUGGGGGGUGCAAGCAGUUUGUUUCUCUCAGACGCGAGCUAGCGCCCAAGCGCGCGAUAUGGGGGCGAGGAGCCACUAUGUAGCUGUAACGAUUGCAUGAGUGGCGAAUUUUACUUCGAGGGUCUAGGGUGCGAGCGGAGUGGGAUUACCCCCCGAGGGGCACGCCAUGCGCUCAGGCCCCAUGCAACAGAAAUUCGCCGGGCACCAACCCACGCACAGAUAAUUCAUAGGACUACACCAUAGCCAUCAGAGACCGGCCGGGAACAAGCCCCGCAAGCGGGGCAGCAUGGGCGCGACACCACCCUGCCGCGCCAACUCACCCCAAACACGCCCCAACCACUUGUGCGACACAAGGGCUACCAUACAGUAGCGCGCGACACCUAAUCGCGUGCGCCGGAGUGUGCGAGCAAACAUUGUACGGAGGAGCUCGUUUGGGCCCUAGGACGCAGGGCCUGGGCUGGCAUUUGGUGCAUUCAAUAGAGCAUAGAAAACCGAGGCCACAUAUGUGCUCGGGUGCGCAAAGGUCGGCGGAAUUGUGGGAUCAAGUGAGAAUAAGAUGUUUCAAGCUCGGCCAGGCGAAGGCCCAGCAAUAGCGGGCAUGCGGAGUAUGAAAAGCCUAGCAAACAAGUAAACACAGCAGCUCCAGGCCAGGUCGACAUGGGGGUGGUGCGACGGCAUGCCUGGCACACAGCCCUCCAGUCCCCGCUCCGUAACUUACACUCCAAUAAUCUAGCUUGCGAGUGCUGGGGCGCUAGGGGCCGACUGGGGCAAUCCUAAGGUGCCGAGGUGGGGGCGGCAAACCAGUCGGGGUGUUUUGGCCCCUAAACGACCAGAGGUUUCAGCGGGCACCCUCCUGGCCGGAUACAGUAAGGGGCGCCGCUGGCCCGCAGUGCAGCCCAGGUCCCUUGGCCACACCUACGCGCCCCCGCCUGACCACCGCGCCCACGCCCCGUCCAGCCCCAGCUCCCGCAGCGCCUUGGCCACGCCCGCCAGCACCGUGGGUCCCCUCGCCGCCGCGCCCGCGGCUGCCACCCCCGCCCCCUCCACGUCCUCUCUUCCCGUGUUGCGGGCCAGGUGCGCGAGGUGCUGGACAAGUCCAAGGCGCUGCAGGCGCGCUACGGUCGGCAGCUGGCGGAGCGGGUGGAGCUGGUCAAGAAGGGCAGCACCAUGGGGGUGAGGAGCAAGGGGGGGGGGUCCACCAUUGCGAAUAAGGAACUAGAGACACGAGGGUGUCAGGACAGGAGGGAGGGAGGGAGGGAGGAAAUGGCCACAUGUGCGGUGCACAGGGUCGGUAUUCACGACCGGGGCGCCCCAGCCAUUCACAGCUGUGCGGUGCUGCAUUAGGGCUCGCCCUGUCACCCACCACAGCACACCUGCCCUGCCUGCCCCCCCCCCCUGCCCCCCCUCCCCGCCCUGCUCCCCCCCAGGAGAUCAGCCGCAAGCUGGCUCCGGGCCAGGAGGCUCCGGAGGCCGCCCGCCGCGAGCUCAAGAACGCUAUCGACACCGUGUUCGGCGCGUACUGAGCGACCUGCUAGGGGGCCCGCAUGGCGUGAUGAUGGAGAUGGUGGUCUGCUGCGGAUAUGGUGAGAUGAGGAGGUGGCCUUGAGAAGCAGACAUGUAGGGACAGGCAGGCCCGCUGCAUACACAGGUGGGAGCAGGAGGUGUGAGAUAUGGGCCAAGCCUCAACGACGUCGUGCUCUUGCCUUCUCCGAUACGCAUUUAAAUAGUUCAUCUGAAUUUAAUAUGGUAUGAAUCCCAACGGUUUAGAGGAGGUACGGGGGGUGUUGCGUGUGCCUGUGUCGCUCGUCGUGUUUGUCAGCUAGCGUGUGUGUGGGGUGCCAGUGCAUGCACGGCGGUAUCCUGCAGCGCGACUGGGGCAACGCACCAGGAGCGGGAGGGGUUAGGAGUGCGUGUCCCAGCGCGGCGCAAGGGCUACUGCGCAGCUCUAUGGCUUUCUGGCAAGUGUGGCCCGCGCUCAGGGGCGCCAGAGGGUCAGGAGCCCGCGAGUGUAUGUCAGUGUAAUCCCUUGCCCUUUCGACUCCCUCCGGCUUUCAAGCCGCCCUCGCCAUACUUCAAAUGUUUAAUCAGCCCGGCGCCAAAAACUUAGGCACUCAGUCGCCCUGAGCUCGUAUUGCGUCACGAGUCUCGCUCCUCACACAAGCAGAGCGACCCCUCCUCGGCGAGCACACACGCGCUCAUCAGGUGGCGGUGGCGCACCGGCCUCACAUGCUGCUGGAGCAGGUGCUGGCCACAGCCAAGAAAAUGACGGGAGCCGGCGAGCCCGGCGCCGCAGGUGCGUGAGCGUGAGCCGCGGGCGCCCCAAGCGCAGGAGGGGACCGCGGGCCUCGAGGCAGCAGCAGUCGCAGCUGCACAGGGAACACAGCUCACACCAACGCUUGGAGCUGCUAGGCAUUGUUUAGAUCUGUCGCGGCUGCAGUGGGGGCGCGAAUGCCGAGCAGCAGCGGCUGCAAACGCCUGUGCGGCUGCCCCUUUGCUUUGGUCGCUUCGGCGCCACCCGACGGCCCCAUAAAUUCGGCAUCUGCCGACUCACACACAUGUUUGCUCACAAGAGCCGAUGAGCUAAAUGCAUCCAUUCUGCCUUCCGCCACUCCCGACCGCCCUCCUCCAGGCGAGCCGGGCGGGUCGCACAAGCUCACAGACUUCCUGGCUACGCUGGUCACCUACCCCGCCCUCUACAUCUUCGCCACAGCCGCCAGCAGCGGCAGCGGCAGCACAGCACCCGAUGAGCCCGGCGGCGGCGUGGGGGGCGCCGCUGAUGGCAAGGUGCGGCGGGUGCGGCACGACGCUUACUGCAUUGCACCUCGCUCUCCUUUCGCCGCCUCUUCCCCGGGUUUGGGGGCAAAGGCCAGGGCCCGCGGGCAGUCGGCAGCAGGAGCCCAGGGGCCGGGGACGCUGACAACCCUGCCGCCUCCGCCACCUUCGCAGCAUCUGCGGCUGGGGGCGCUCAGCCUCCUCAGCCUCCUCCUCAAACCCGCACCACCACCCCUCCCUCCUUCCCGCCCUUCCUCUCCCUGCACGCCCCCUGACAGUUCCUGGCCGGCGCCCGCGACGCCGUCACGGGGCUGGCCAAGCGCGUCACCGGCACCACCACUACCACCACACAGCCAGCGGGCGAGCACCACCAGCAGCACCACCAAGGGCACCAGGGGCAGCAGCAGCAGCAGCAAGGGCUGCAGGCACUGCUGCCCAAGUCGCCCAUCGGCGGCGGCGGUGUCGGUGGCGGCGGCGGCCCGGUGAUGGGUCUGGCUCCCGAGGUGCGCUACCGCCUGUCGGACUUCCCAGAGGGCCGGGCGCUGGUGGCGCUGGAGAGGUGCGCGCGGGCGGCGGCGGCGGGGGGCUGCGGGAGAAAGACUGUGGCGACCCAGCAGCGCGUGUGUAGGCGUGCGUAUGCGUGUGCAUCUGUGCGUGUGGUGUGCGCGUGCGCGGUCGCAGUGUCAAUGGCUUGCCAAAGGACCGUGUUUGUGAGAGGGGACACGAGGCACCCCCGCCCCUCUGCCCGCCGCCCUCCCGCCUGCAGGUGGUGUCGCGAGCCGGUGCAUCUGGGGCUGCUGUCGGAGCUGUGGGCGGCGGCGCGUGAGUACGGCCGCGGCUACGUGGCGUCGGGGGCAGCGGCGCCCUGGUGCGUGUGCGUGUGCGUGUGUGGUAUGUGUGUGCAACCUUCGCUGCAACAAGGCUGACGCGUGCGUAAGCCCGCAACGGCCACACCACGACCCAGCGCAUUGACCAGGCCACAGCGACCGCUGUCCUCGCAGCGCCCCUUGCAUCCCUCCGCCCCCCCCCCACGGCCCCCCCCUUUGUACCAAUCCUUGCAACCCCCCACCCCACCCCACUCUCCCACCUCUCCCCGCAACCCCCUCCCCGCACCACCCCCGCACCAGGCUGGCCGACAGCCUGGGACCCUGGCUGGAGUCCUUCCCCGACGCCGCGCCGCCGCUGUCGCUGGAGGCGGUGGUGGAACGCGCGGUGGCGGACGCGCAGGAAGGCUUCAGAGCCGAGGCAGCCAGCAUCAGCGCGGGUGAGCGCACAGCGUGCGUGUGCGUGUGCGUAUGUGCGUGCGUGUGUGCGUGCGUGUGUUUGUGAUUGUAUUAGAAAGCACCAGGGAAAGGUCGCUCUUGAACGGUAUGUGCAUGUACACGUACGUGUGUGAGGUUUGUUCUUGCCUUGUGCUAGCUCGUAAUGUCGGGCGGGCUGCUGUCGCCGCCGUGCGUUACAGGCGCCGGCCCCAGUAUGGAGGCGGGCGGCCCGGCGGCAGCGGGCUGGGAGGGCGGGCUGCCGCUGCGGCGCCUGGCGGCGGCCGCCGGCCCCAACCUGACCCACAUCAGCCGCCAGCUGCAGCAGCGCUACCGCCUCAGCCGCGGCCGCACAUGGUUGGAGUUCACGCAGGUGUAGCGAGCGAGCUAGCGUGGGAGCGCGUUACCCGUUGCUGGUUCUAGCUGGGUCGAUAUGUCUGCGGUUUGACCUGCCAUUGUCAGGUUGUGCUCGUCGCAACACCGCGCCACCAUCAAACCUGAGCCCUCACACUACCUCGCUGCGGGCCCUGCAUGUAGCCUGCCGCUCUGAACUCACGCCCCAUAACCCUCCCUCCCCUUCUCCCCUUCUCCACCCCCCCCCAGAUCUUCCUGGGCGCCUUCCGCACCUGGCUGCGCCUGGUGGCGUACGGCCUGUCGCUGGCGGCUGUGGCGCUGCGGCUGCUGGGCACCGGCGCCAGUGUGCUGAGCGGCGCGGUGGCCUUCACGGUGGUGUUCUCCAUCGCGCUGUCGGUGCUGUCGGCGGCGCUGCAGCUGGGCGGCGGCGCGGCGGACGGCAUCUCGGCGCUGCUCAGGUGGGUGCGUACGUGGGGGGAUAGGAGGGGGGAGGAGGGUGGGAUGGGGCAGGGGGCGGGGGGCAGGGGGCGGGGGGCAGGGGGCAGGGGGCAGGGGGCAGGGGGCAGGGGGCAGGGGGCAGGGGGCAGGGGGCAGGGGGCAGGGGGCAGGGGGCAGGGGGCAGGGGGCAGGGGGCAGGGGGCAGGGGGCAGGGGGCAGGGGGCAGGGGGGCAGCGGGCAGGGGGCAGGGCUCGGGGAGAUGGGGAGGGGGGAGGGCUGUACAGCUUCAAAAGAGGCAGGCGCCCCACAGUGUCCAGCAGGUGGAUGCUCCAGACACGCAAUCGCCCAUCGCCCAUCGCCCAUCGCCCAUCGCAUCUGCCCCGACCCCUCUCCCUCCCUCACGCAAAAACACACAUUGUUUGCGUAUACUUUUUCUUGUGCUCAUCCAUACACACACACACAUCUUCAUCAUCGCCAGGCGACUGGCCUCCAUGACCGAGAGUGUGGCGCACCGCAGCAACACGGGAUACGUGCGCCAGACGGUGGAGGGAGACCUGGUGGGUGGUGGGUGGGUGUGGGCAAUGGCGGCGGUAUGCGGCCGCGACCGCUACACAUGGCGUGCUGCUGUGUGUGCUGUUGGUGAGCUGAAGUGUUAUCUCGCGCCUCAGUCCGUACAAACGCACACGAAAGACAGACACACGCACGCACGGCGUUUGGGCGGGCCGAUUUUGCUGCCUCGUUGUUAAACACACACACACACACACACACACACACACACACACACACGCGCGCGCAUACACACACACAUACACACACACGCCCGCCCGCCUGCACAGGUGGGCCCCCGCAGUCUGGACCCGGCCAGCUUUGAGGAGCUGGAGGACCUGUUCGUGUGCCAACUGGCGCCGCGGCUGAGACUGCGGUGAGGGAGGGAGACGGGCUGGCGUUGGGUGCAGGCAGGUCCACGUGACUCCAGACCCGCCCCCUCACUUCGGUCACUUACAACAAUCCUCCUGCACAACUUGGCUUUGGCUGACUGUUUCCCCUGAGCCGCCCUGAGCCUCCUUGACGCCCGCCCCCCUUCAACCGCCCAGCUCGCGGCCCGACGCCGCCCGCCUGGCCGGUGACCCGCUGCUGCUGCGCUGCUACGACCUGCGGCUGGUGGACGGGGCGGGGCAGGUGCGGGGGCGGGGCGGUUGGGGGGGGGGCAGGUGUGUGUGUAUGUGCAUGUGUGUGUGUAGAUACCAGCCCAAGCUGACACCAUACUGAACCCAAUGGGGGCCGGGCGGGUGUUUGGGUGUGUUAGUGGGUGCGGUGCGUGUCUCAGCAAGGCGCGGUGCUGUGGCUGCGUCAGUGGCUGCGUCAGGAAGCUGGGGGAUGUGCGUGAGGGUGCAGCUGUGGCUGGAUGGCGGAUGCGCACGCGUCGCAGACCCGCCCUGCCGUUGUGCAUGUACGUGUGUGUGUGUGCCUCACCAGGUGAUGGUGGAGGAGGCGGAGGCGGUGGUGCCGCGGUUUGAGCCCACUGGCUUCUUCGGACUGGCGCCGCAGGCGGUGCGCAAGGUGGGUGGGUGCGCGCGAGAGAGGAGGAGGAGGGCCUCGCUCACGGGGGCCAUGUUUGAUGUAUGCGGCUGAGAGUGUGUGUGAUGCAAGCGACCCUUGCACUUUGCCUGCACUGUUACCCUCCUGACACAACUCAUUUGGCCUCCUGUGUGGCUAUCCCGGCCGCCCGCCAUCACCAUACCGAAUACAUCCUCACCACCUGCCUGCUACGUACGCGGCGCGUCGGCGCCGCCGCCCGGGCCCCACUCCCUAUGCGCGCACAGGCGGGUGCGGUGCUGCUGCUGCGGCUGCUGGCCUGGAAGCGCGUGGGGCUGUGCUGCGCCUCCGCUGAGAGCCUCAAGUACGUGUUUGUGAUGGGCGAGCGCGGCGCCGGCCGGGCCACCGCCUUCGCGCGACUGGCGCAGCUGCCGCUCGACUACAAGGUGCGUGCGUGUCAGUGUGUGUGUGUGUGUGUGUGUGUGUGUGUGUGUGUGUGUGUGUGUGUGUGUGCUGUUUAAUGUUUGCGCGUGUGUAUUUGUUUUUGUGUGUCAGCCUGUGUGUGCGCUUCUGUGUCUGUGUGUUGGUAAAGCAACAAGGGUAAGGUUGACAGGAAAAGUAGAUGAGGGAGAGUGUUUGGUCAUGUCAGGACCAAGCGAAACGAUGGGAAGGUGUGCAUGCAUGUGUACAACAUGCUAGCUGGCGCCCCUUGCCCUUACAGCCGUGCCCCUAUUUCCACAUUUACGCUCCCCAUCUCCCGUUCUCCCCUUUCCUCCUGUCCCCCAUUUCCCCAUGCUAGACUCCCCCUCCAAACCCCAACCACCCAUCACACCACACCACUACUCCCGCACGCCCCCACCCACCCCCCCCCCCGCCCCGCAGGUGCCUCCCUCCGUGCCCGCCGAGAUCCGGCCCAUCCAGCGCCUGCCCGGCGCCUUCGCGGUGCUGCCCGCCGGCCUGGACGCCGACCCCGCCGCCUGCCCCGCAGUGCUGGCGCGGGCGCAGCACUUCGCGGACCUGUCGCACGGUGCGUGUUGAUGUUUGCGCUUGUGCAUGUGCGUGUGUGUGGAUAGGUGCGCAGCUUUGUUCCAUUACUGGGUAUGUGCGGGGGGGUUGUAGAUACCAGCCCAUACUAAACCAAACCCAAUGCAAUAGAGCGAGGAGGAGAGCGUGGGCGAUGCUUGACAACGGGGGUAUUUGAAGCCCCCCUGCUUCCCCCAGCUUCUCAAUCUGUGCCUGCUGCCCCCGCCCGCCCGCCCGCCCGCCCCGCAUGCAGGCGUGUUCUCGGUGCUGGUGUACCUGGUGGGCGUGGACAGCGCGCCCUCGCCCGAGGCGCUUGGGCCGGCGGUGUGGCAGGCGCUGGCGGCGCGGCGGCCGCUGCUGCUGCUGGUGAACAAGGGCAUCAAGCUCACGGAGGCGCUGAGGGUGAGAGUGGGGUGAGCGAGGUAGCAGGGGGCGGGCGGGGCGGCGGGCGUGGACAGGGUGGGUGAUGAGCGGGCGGGCAUGCUGGUUGCGCUGUAGUGUCUGACAGCCUCUGGGUGUAGAGCGGGCCAGGACGCUGGCCACCGGUACCCUGAUGGUGCAUCUGCCUUGCUGUCCACAACCUUAUGUUCUUAAUGUGCCGGUGUCCUGUAGCGGUGCACAACAUGUUGAAUGGUGAUUACGACUAUCGCUAGCCGGAAGUAGGGGCGGCUGACAGUCAGACUGUUUCGCACAUUACAUAGUACCACACUACUUAACUAUAACGGGUAGCUCUCUGGCUUAUACCCUCGCAUGGGUUCCGGGUUAAGUCCUUGCAUGGUGUAUCGCACACACACUCUCGGAACUCCCCUACGUUCUCCCUUAUGGAUAGUUCUGACCGAUAUCUCAACACUCCCCCGCGGGCAGAACUCCAUACUCAAAUUACGUAUCGCAAUAGACUCAUACCUCAAAUCACGUGCUACAAACAAUCCCUGCAUACCUCUGUACGCUUGCCGCUUGUAGUCACUGUGCUACUGCAAUCGUCCCAUGUUCUCGUGUCCUCAAGAUCACGUCUUUCUCUUUCUCACUGCAUCGUCCAUAAUCAGCACAAAUCAAUACGGUCUUCUACCGCAAUCAAUUUCAUCCGGAAAUCCAUACUCAAUCAUAUCUGCACGGCUCCCCCGUGUCCGAAUGCUCCCGCAUUCACUGUACUUACGGCUUCACUUCACCGUACCUGCGGUUUCACACACCGCAUCAUGCCGCACUACCGGCAUCAUAGCUUCAAGUGCUAGAGAGCCAUACACAUAAGAUGAUCUUUUAACAUCAUAUGAUAAGAGCAUAACAGCAACUCUCUACCGCUGGCUUCACUUGCCAUGUUCGUUCAUCUGACUUCACUUGCCAGUCGUGGAUCCUUGCCAGUCCGUGACUUCACUCGCCACAUGUGACUUCACUCGCCACAUAGCAAACCACUCUCAGUGCACUUCACUCGUGCAAACAGUAGCAAAGCUUCACUCGCAUUUGCUCACACAAUCUCAGGUGCUUCACUCACACCCCGUGCUUCACUUGCACGUCUCAUACUGGUGCUUCACUCACACCGCGUGUCAUACUCGCACGCAUAUCGUACUCACGAUGCCUUCCUUGCACCGACAUACUCACGAUGCUUUACUCGCACCGACAGCCCAACGUGGCCGUUCACAUCACAUCGGAGCUAGCAUCAUAGUCUAUGCUCCACAUCAUAUCUUCUGCUCCUACGAACGCUACUAGGCGCGGACCCCCCGGCCGCGCCCCCGGCCGUUUCCCUGGUCCAGGUUCACCGCCCACAUGCGCCGGUCACCGCCGUCCCGGCCUACGUGUGCACCGCGCGCCUGGUUGCCACCGCCGCCCUCAGCGGCCUGCUCCGGGCACUCCCACUGGAAAUGUCCCCAGCCCUGGCACCUCCGGCACUGGAUGUUCUCCUUGUUGCGCACAACGCCACCCUCCUAGCUCGGACCUCCACCAACUCUCCGUAGUGGAAUGGUCACGCAUGCUGAGGAUAAGGCUUGCUUCCUCGCCAUCCCGCGAGUACGCAUUCGACUGCUUCCUUCCUCGCCAUCCCGCGAGUACGAGUCCUUAGCAGCUUAUCACCGGUCGUUCUCCAAAGUGAGCGACCGAUAAACUCCAGACGCGAUGCUGUCCGCAAAUUCCGGCCUCCUCGGCCGGUCGCGCUGACUUUGCCUACAUUAUCCCGAGCCUAGUUGAGCAGCUCAAGGGAUCUUGCGAGCAUUUGCUGCGCCGCCUACUGGGCAGCCGCUUUCCUCGCUCAUUGCGCUCAAUGGCCUACAGCCUAUCGGUUAUCUUGUCUUUACUCGACAAAGCGCAACCCGCCGCAACUACGCGGGGCUCAUAACCUGUUGAAUGGUGAUUACGACUAUCGCUAGCCGGAAGUAGGGGCGGCUGACAGUCAGACUGUUUCGCACAUUACAUAGUACCACACUACUUAACUAUAACGGGUAGCUCUCUGGCUUAUACCCUCGCAUGGGUUCCGGGUUAAGUCCUUGCAUGGUGUAUCGCACACACACUCUCGGAACUCCCCUACGUUCUCCCUUAUGGAUAGUUCUGACCGAUAUCUCAACAC
rnacentral:lncRNA from 1 species